GGUAAUGGCUCACCAAGGCGAAGACGGGUAGGGGGUGUGAGAGCAUGGCCCCCCACAAUGGGACUGAGACACGGCCCAUACUCCUACGGGAGGCAGCAGCUGGGAAUAUUGCACAAUGGACGGAAGUCUGAUGCAGCGACGCCGCGUGAAUGAUGAAGGCCUUCGGGUUGUAAAAUUCUUUUAGGGGGGAAGAGAUAGGACGGUACCCCCGGAAUAAGCGUCGGCUAACUACGUGCCAGCAGCCGCGGUAAGACGUAGGACGCGAGCGUUAUCCGGAUUUACUGGGCGUAAAGCGUCUGUAGGCGGAGGAGUAAGUUGGGCGUGAAAGCUCCGGGCUCAACCCGGAGAGGCCGUUCAAUACUGCUAAUCUAGAGGGUGUCAGAGGGAAGCGGAAUUCCUGGUGUAGCGGUAAAAUGCGCAGAUAUCAGGAGGAACACCGGUGGCGUAGGCGGCUUCCUGGGGCACACCUGACGCUGAGAGACGAAAGCUAGGGGAGCGAACAGGAUUAGAGACCCUGGUAGUCCUAGCCGUAAACGAUGAAUGCUAGGUGUGGGGUCGAGUGACUCUGUGCCGUAGCAAACGCGAUAAGCAUUCCGCCUGGGGAGUACGACCGCAAGGUUAAAACUCAAACGAAUUGACGGGGCCCCGCACAAGCAGCGGAGCGUGUGGUUUAAUUCGAUUUUACACGAAGAACCUUACCUGGGUUUGACAUGGAGGUGGUAGCGAGGCGAAAGCUGAGUGACCCUUCGGGGAGCCUCCACAGGUGCUGCAUGGCUGUCGUCAGCUCGUGCCGUGAGGUGUCGGGUUAAGUCCCGUAACGAGCGCAACCCUUGCCCUUAGUUAUACGUGUCUAAGGGGACUGCCGGCGGAAAGCCGGAGGAAGGUGGGGAUGACGUCAAGUCAGCAUGCCCCUUAUGUCCAGGGCUACACACACGCUACAAUGGUCGGUACAAAGGGCAGCGAAGCCGCGAGGUGGAGCGAAUCUCACGAAAGCCGAUCGUAGUUCGGAUUGCAGGCUGCAACUCGCCUGCAUGAAGCUGGAGUUGCUAGUAACCGCGCGUCAGCUAUAGUGCGGUGAAUACGUUCCCGGGGCUUGUACACACCGCCCGUCACGUCAUGGGAGUCGGUAACGCCUGAAGCCGGUAGUCUAACCGGAAACGGAGGACGCUGUUGAGGGCGGGACUGGCAACUGGGACGAAGUCGUAACAAGGUAGCGGUACCGGAAGGUGCGGCUGG
rnacentral:rRNA from 1 species